rnacentral:rRNA from 1 species
UACGGAGGGUGCAAGCGUUAUCCGGAUUCACUGGGUUUAAAGGGUGCGUAGGCGGAUUGGUAAGUCCGUGGUGAAAUCCCCGAGCUUAACUCGGGAACUGCCGUGGAUACUAUCAGUCUUGAAUAUCGUGGAGGUAAGCGGAAUAUGUCAUGUAGCGGUGAAAUGCUUAGAUAUGACAUAGAACACCGAUUGCGAAGGCAGCUUACUACACGAUCAUUGACGCUGAGGCACGAAAGCGUGGGGAGCAAACAGG